ACAGCGGGAGAGAGAGGGCACUCCAACCCAAUUGUGCUUCACAUGCGGCUCCGGCUCCUAACCCACCAACACACAGAGAACCAUCUCAAAUGGCAAAUUACGUGUGAAGCAUCUGGCCUGGUGCCUGGAACAUGACAGAAAGAAAAUAGUUCAACUACAAUCAGUCUUCUUGUUGCUAAAACAAAGCUUGAAAAACUCCAGAUUGUCCCUCUGAACUUCCUCUCUUCUGAAAGCAAAGGCUGCAGGGACAGUUCUCAACAGUCUCAAAGUGUAGGCCUGAGGAGUGAUUGGUGGGUUAAAAGUGUGGUGAAGAACAAAGGCUCUUGUACUUUGGGAUUUGGAGUGGGCUUCAGAAAAUUCAACUUCGUGAAGACAAAAUGAAAUACUAGGCUAGAAAUAAGAGCCAGGACAGCUCCCAAACAAAGGUUCUCAGGAAGCAAGGUGGGAACACGACGUCAUGUUAGGAUGGUCACAACAGUCCGCAGCAGCACAGCACACUGGAAAUAACCCAGCUCUCCUCAGCAAAGGACAUCUUCUAAGCUGUAGUCAUCAAAGUGCAUGCACCUUUAAACGAUUUUUAUAAAGAGUUGUAUUUUACUGCACAGGAAAGGAUCAAACAGUGAAAAUAUGUAAACCAGGGAAACAGGAUGAUAAUGGCUUAGUCUGUGAUCUUAUGCAUAUGAAAGCAUAUUUAUUGCAUAUCCAUAGUACAAAUAUUGAAAAUGCUGUGUCUGAGUGGCUCUUUCCAGAUGAGACAGCUUUGCAGACAAAUCUUAAGUAUUUUUUCUCUAUUUUCCUGGUUUUCCUUGCUUUAAAUUUUACAAUCAUAAAGACUGAUACAUAUUAAUUGUACCAAUGAGUAGAAUUUGCUGUGAAAUUUCCAUACAUACAUACAUCAUACAUUAAUUAUGUCCAACUGCCUUCCUUUACUCUUGGUCCCCUCCUGUUUUAGAUUUUACUUUUUCCUGGAGGGCAAAUGUUAAGACAGGAUCUCCCUGGCAACACAUGCUGGCCUUUAACUCACAACCCUCCGCUGUUCCUGUACACGGGUAGAAUGGACAUGCACAACCACUGCUGGACCCCUUUUUAUAAACAACAGCAACAACAAAAAACAAACGUGUGCAAUCAAUGUCGUUUUAUAAUGCACUGCUCUGGUGUGCAACCAAUGUGGUUUGCAACGCACUGCUUGGGUGCAUAAAUGCCCCAUAUUUUUCAUUUUGCUAGAC
rnacentral:lncRNA from 1 species